CGGAGAACAGGCGCUCCCCGCCCGCCGUCAGGAGCGUCACCAGGCCGUAGCCCAGCACGCGGGGAUGCUGCAGGUCGUUAGACUGGAUAUAUUGUAUUGACUUCUGCCUCCUUUAUUCCCCCAGAUGAUUAUUUUAACCCUGAGGACCUAGAUGUGGCCAGUCUUUGCUGGGACCACUGUCGUCAUCGUCAUCGUCACCAUCUGACACCGGCUUUUAUCAAGGGUUGCUCCCUGAGCCUGGAUGCCAAUCAUUCACCUCUCCCUGGCAAAAGUAAUAAAUCAUAGCGAGAAACUGACUGCUUUUGAAGAAUAUAGAAGAUAAAGAAACUGAGUGUUUGAGAACUGGAAGGUGGCAAAAAGCAGCAGGAGGCGAAGAGGAAAAGAUCAAGUGGAAAGAGUCAGCACCAUGUGUACUUUGCUCAGCUCGGAACUUGAACCCUUCUACAGAGAUCACGUCUGUCUGAGCCUCUUGAAUUGCCAACCUUGUGAUAAACAAUAGGUAAACGUAUCCAGGGAGAAACAGGGCAACACCAAGGAGACAACAGGGCCAUAGGACAGGUUCCAGGUACAGCUGAAGGGCCAUCUGGACACCCACUCCCACCCACUUUCGUCAGAGUCACCAAGCACAGUGGGGGGUCGGGGUGGAGCCACAGGCGCUGACAGAGUAGUGACUCCCCCACAACUUCCUCCUUCCUGCCCAGCUCAGCCUGUUUACUCAGCAGACUUGUCUGGUGUAAAGC